AAAAUGGGGUUCAGCUCUGGACAGAGGAU
rnacentral:piRNA from 1 species